AGUUGAGUAAACACGGACAGAGGCUCGUGGUGGUGAGAGGCUCUGAGGAGGUUUCCUGCUAGUUAAUUUCUAGAGCAUCCUCAGUAUGGUUUUCUGGUUUAGUGCGGUUUUCUUUUGGGUCCAUUUAGGGAUCUUGUUAAUCCACCUUGAAGGCCUUCCAAAAUAGCACACCGGCGUUGAAAGAAAGCAUGGCAUUAUAUAACUGCUCUUUUCCUAGGAUUGAAAGAAGAAAUAAAUGAAAGGCAUUUUGGCUUUAAGAUCUAAGUACUCUUAGUGAAGUUCUUGUUGGUGUUAAGUCUAACGAGUUAGCGAAUUUUAGUGUGACAAGUGUAGCCUUUUUAGAGUAGCAAUCUUUUUUAUGUUAGAGCCUGCUACUUGUAUAUCUAAAAACAUGAGCAUAUGAACAUAAUCUAGCUACACUUACGCUCAGCAAAUUGAUAUGCUGCAGAAAUGCAAUAAUUUGAUUUUAUAAAAUGAAAUAAUACUUAAAUGUUUCUGUUAUCAUUGUAACAUUGCAUUUAGUACUGUACUUUGGUGGCUGAGACUGGAACAUUAUGAGUUUCCGGCCAGUCCUUGCUUCCUGCUGAGACCCUGUCUAUGGGAUGAGGGGGAAGGGGUAAAGCACAAUCGGUAAAGUGCCCCAGAAGCUCUGGGUGAUACUCAGCACUAUAUACACCUGCAAGGUGGAUCUCAUGGAGGCAUUUCCUCAAGGGAGGCUCCUUUCUCUGUGAUAACUUCAGCUUGUGUCAAGUUGACACACAAAACCAGCCAGUACAGCUACAUUGUUUCCGGCAAGCCUAGACUAGCCUAGAUAGAGAAGAGAAGAGAAGAGAAGAGAAGAGAAGAGAAGAGAAGAGAAGAGAAGAGAAAGACAGACCACCAAAAGCAUGUAGAUGACCCAUUCAUUCACUGGAAAACACCAUUCACUGUAUUGUUCCGGGAAGGCACAUUUUUAGAGACCUCAGAAUUCAUUGUAACAUCUGAAUCUCCAGAAUAAAUUCUCAUUUAAUUUCUGAAAAUGGGGUAGAGUUGUAAUGUUACAGGUUUUGUUAAUCCCAUUGGGCGAGAAUAAAGCCACUACCAUAGUUUUUGAGCCAAAUUUGAAGCAAGCUUUAUUCAAUACUGGCCAGGAUCAUGGACACUGGUCAGGUCCAUACCUGUAAUUCCCAGAAUAUGACCCUGAAUUACAUGAAACAGAAGCUAAAAAAGGCAAGACCCACAAAGCUACGUACUUCCCACCUUAGUCCAAACAGGGGCAAGCAUACACCCUGAAAUACUUCCUGUUCAUCUAGGGCAACCACACUUGUUUACAGAAGUAAAAAUACAUGGCUUAUUAUCACAUGGACAACAGGCCAGCAUUCCACAAAGUUAUCUGUCCUUGGGCAAAUGGGACCUAAGAGGUUAGAGGAGGUCUAUUAUAUAGACAUCUUAUGCACCCAAAUUUAAACCUAGAACAUAGCUUUUGCUGUCACAGUGUUUAGAAGACCAGACAACACUGAAAUAGUUAAAACUCUUUUAGCAAUUUCCACCCUUCAGCCUAGUCCCCGCUGUGCAAUAGGAAUUUGCUUAAAUUCCCACAUUCUCAGUUACAAAAGCUGUUGUCAAGUUACUAAAACACACACCACCUAUUUAUUCUUGGUGAGGAUCUGACUGCCAAGACUUGAAAAACAGGACAGAAACAUUCCACAGGCCGGGAAAUGGGGACAGUUGAAAUGCUGGAAUAUACUGAAGCUAAAUGUUGGUCACCUUUGAUGAAACAAUUCUAAUAAGGCAGGAGGUAGUGCCUGAUUUGGAAUGUUUAGAAAAGAAUAUAUCAUGGUGCUGAGAGCAGAGGACUUCCUUUUCUGUCAGACUAGCACCAUUUUUAUGCAAAUACUUUAUUCUGAAAGAAAUCCACUCGACAGAUCUAAAGAUUUUUAAUCUUACAUUCACUUAGUGAUAUGAAAAUUGGAGCACUCUUAAUUUUAACCUCCAUGACCUGUUGCACUAAAAUGAGAAAGAAGCUGAAUGCUAGAGCUUUGAGUAAAUCAUAACCAUUGUUAGUUCAUAGAGUGUUUACAACUUGGGUAUAAAAUUUUUCUCAACAUAAAAAAAUUUUAGCUUUCUUUUCUUACAUUAUUUUUUGUCUUUCCAUUCUAAUAGUAGGAAGUGUAAAAUGUAUUUUCCAGUCACAGACAGCAUGAAAAGAGUGCAGUGGUCAACCUAUAUAAUAUUUACUAUAUUUUCUUCACAAACAGUGCAUAGAGUCUAAUUAAUUCUCCAAGGCCACCAUUUAAAAUGAAAAUUAAGGUUUUUGAGGGCAAUGCUAUCCAGAAUUUAAGUAUCAAAAAAUUUAAAUUGCUUAAUUGGUUAUCUGGAUAAUCCGUCCUUGGCCAAAAAGCUAUGGUUUCAUACAAUGGAGCAAAUACUAAAACAUGUAAUCCAUAUAUGUUGUUUGAUUAAUAACUGCACAUUUUUAACUUUUAGAACCCUUUGAACAUUUCCUUGCAUUCAUGUAAAGUUCAUUAAUUACUUUGCUCUUCGAGUCUUCCCACAGGUCAUUUCUACAGAAGACUGUUAUUACAAACAAACUGCCCUGAGCUCAUUCUUGUUCUUUGAACUUUAAAGUCACUGUCUGUUGUUUCCCUCAUUUCAACAACAUUCUUUUAUAGUAAUGGGGAAGUUUGUCCUGUCUGGUAUUAUAAGAUAUAGAGAAGGUAGUUUAAAUAAAACUAGACAAACCAAAAAAAAAAAAAAAAAGAGAGAGAGAGAGAGAACAAAAAUGAGAGUUUUCAAAUGUUCAUCUGUUCUGUUAUUAACACUACACUACAAUGUUCUUCAGGAUUUAAUUGAGGAGCUGUAAAGAGUUUUGUUGACUGUAUUUGUUUUACAUAUUGCACAUAUUUGUUUAAAUAAAAUAAUAUUAUUUUUA